rnacentral:rRNA from 1 species
GGGAGGUAGUGACAAUAAAUAACAAUACGGGGUUCUUUCGGAUCUCGUAAUUGGAAUGAGUACAAUUUAAAUCUCUUAACGAGGAACAAUUGGAGGGCAAGUCUGGUGCCAGCAGCCGCGGUAAUUCCAGCUCCAAUAGCGUAUAUUAAAGUUGUUGCAGUUAAAAAGCUCGUAGUUGAAUUUCGGGGUUAGUAGGUUGGUUAUGCCUCUGGUAUGUACUGGUCUCACUGAUUCCUCCUUCCUGAUGAACCGUAAUGCCAUUAAUUUGGUGUUGCGGGGAAUUUGGACUGUUACUUUGAAAAAAAUUAGAGUGUUUAAAGCAAGCUAACGCUUGAAUACAUUAGCAUGGAAUAAUGAAAUAGGACGUUCGAUCCUAUUUUGUUGGUUUCUAGGAUUGACGUAAUGAUUAAUAGGGAUAGUUGGG